ensembl:snRNA U6 U6 spliceosomal RNA
GUGCUUACUUCAGCAGGACAUGUACUAAAAUUAGAACAACACGGAGAUUAGCAUGGUCCCUGCGCAAGGGUGACAUGCAAAUUUGUGACGUUAGUCAUCUAGAU